GACGAACGCUGGCGGCGUGCUUAACACAUGCAAGUCGAACGGAAAGGCCCUGCUUUUGUGGGGUGCUCGAGUGGCGAACGGGUGAGUAACACGUGAGUAACCUGCCCUUGACUUUGGGAUAACUUCAGGAAACUGGGGCUAAUACCGGAUAGGAGCUCCUGCUGCAUGGUGGGGGUUGGAAAGUUUCGGCGGUUGGGGAUGGACUCGCGGCUUAUCAGCUUGUUGGUGGGGUAGUGGCUUACCAAGGCUUUGACGGGUAGCCGGCCUGAGAGGGUGACCGGCCACAUUGGGACUGAGAUACGGCCCAUACUCCUACGGGAGGCAGCAGUGGGGAAUAUUGCACAAUGGGCGGAAGCCUGAUGCAGCAACGCCGCGUGCGGGAUGACUGCCUUCGGGUUGUAAACCGCUUUCGCCUGUGACGAAGCGUGAGUGACGGUAAUGGGUAAAGAAGCACCGGCUAACUACGUG
rnacentral:rRNA from 1 species